AGCCACUUGGUGUAGUGGUUUGGGUUUUGGACUAGCACUCCAGAGUCCAGGGUUCAAAUCCCUACUUGGCCA